rnacentral:tRNA from 1 species
GGUUGUAGCUCAGUGGUAGAAUGCUUGCCUUACAUGCCUGAGGCCCUGGAUUCGGUCCCCAGCACCA